rnacentral:rRNA from 1 species
UGGGGAAUUUUGGACAAUGGGGGAAACCCAGAUCCAGCCAUCCCGCGUGUGCGAUGAAGGCCUUCGGGUUGUAAAGCACUUUUGGCAGGAAAGAAACGUCAUGGGUUAAUACCCCGUGAAACUGACGGUACCUGCAGAAUAAGCACCGGCUAACUACGUGCCAGCAGCCGCGGUAAUACGUAGGGUGCAAGCGUUAAUCGGAAUUACUGGGCGUAAAGCGUGCGCAGGCGGUUCGGAAAGAAAGAUGUGAAAUCCCAGAGCUCAACUUUGGAACUGCAUUUUUAACUACCGGGCUAGAGUGUGUCAGAGGGAGGUGGAAUUCCGCGUGUAGCAGUGAAAUGCGUAGAUAUGCGGAGGAACACCGAUGGCGAAGGCAGCCUCCUGGGAUAACACUGACGCACAUGCACGAAAGCGUGGGGAGCAAACAGG